rnacentral:rRNA from 1 species
UGGGGAAUAUUGCACAAUGGGCGCAAGCCUGAUGCAGCCAUGCCGCGUGUAUGAAGAAGGCCUUCGGGUUGUAAAGUACUUUCAGUCGGGAGGAAGGUGGUAAGGUUAAUAACCUUAUCAAUUGACGUUACCGACAGAAGAAGCACCGGCUAACUCCGUGCCAGCAGCCGCGGUAAUACGGAGGGUGCAAGCGUUAAUCGGAAUUACUGGGCGUAAAGCGCACGCAGGCGGUUGAUUGAGUCAGAUGUGAAAUCCCCGGGCUUAACCCGGGAAUUGCAUCUGAUACUGGUCAGCUAGAGUCUUGUAGAGGGGGGUAGAAUUCCAUGUGUAGCGGUGAAAUGCGUAGAGAUGUGGAGGAAUACCGGUGGCGAAGGCGACCCCCUGGACAAAGACUGACGCUCAGGUGCGAAAGCGUGGGGAGCAAACAGG